CGCGUAGGCGGGAUUGCAAGUCAGAUGUGAAAUGCCAGGGCUUAACCCUGGAGCUGCAUUUGAAACUGUAAUUCUUGAGUAUCGGAGAGGCAGGCGGAAUUCCUAGUGUAGCGGUGAAAUGCGUAGAUAUUAGGAGGAACACCAGUGGCGAAGGCGGCCUGCUGGACGACAACUGACGCUGAGGCGCGAAAGCGCGGGGAGCAAACA
rnacentral:rRNA from 1 species